rnacentral:rRNA from 1 species
GACGAACGCUGGCGGCGUGCUUAACACAUGCAAGUCGAACGGAAAGGCCCUGCUUUUGUGGGGUGCUCGAGUGGCGAACGGGUAAGUAACCCGUGAGUAACCUGCCCUUGACUUUGGGAUAACUUCAGGAAACUGGGGCUAAUCCCGGAUAGGAGCUCCUGCUGCAUGGUGGGGGUUGGAAAGUUUCGGCGGUUGGGGAUGGACUCGCGGAUUAUCAGCUUGUUGGUGGGGUAGUGGCUUACCAAGGCUUUGAAGGGUAGCCGGCCUGAGAGGGUGACCGGCCACACUGGGACUGAGAUGCGGCCCAGACUCCAACGGGAGGCAGCAGUGGGGAAUAGUGCACAAUGGGCUGAAGCCUGAUGCAGCAACGCCGCGUGCGGGAUGACGGCCUUCGGGUUGUAAACCGCUUUCGCCUGUGACGAAGCGUGAGUGACGGUAAUGGGUAAAGAAGCACCGGCUAACUACGUG